CCUACGGGGUGCAGCAGUGGGGAAUAUUGGACAAUGGGCGAAAGCCUGAUCCAGCCAUGCCGCGUGUGUGAAGAAGGCCUUCGGGUUGUAAAGCACUUUCAGUGGGGAAGAAAGCCUUGGGGCUAAUACCCUCGAGGAAGGACAUCACCCACAGAAGAAGCACCGGCUAACUCCGUGCCAGCAGCCGCGGUAAUACGGAGGGUGCGAGCGUUAAUCGGAAUUACUGGGCGUAAAGCGCGCGUAGGCGGUCUGAUAAGCCGGUUGUGAAAGCCCCGGGCUCAACCUGGGAACGGCAUCCGGAACUGUCAGGCUAGAGUGCAGGAGAGGAAGGUAGAAUUCCCGGUGUAGCGGUGAAAUGCGUAGAGAUCGGGAGGAAUACCAGUGGCGAAGGCGGCCUUCCGGACUGACACUGACGCUGAGGUGCGAAAGCGUGGGUAGCAAACAGGAUUAGAUACCCCAGUAGUC
rnacentral:rRNA from 1 species